UAAGUAAGCUUUGAUCCAGAGAUUUCCGAAUGGGGAAACCCAGCAUGAGUUAUGUCAUGUUAUCGAUAUGUGAAUACAUAGCAUAUCAGAAGGCACACCCGGAGAACUGAAACAUCUUAGUACCCGGAGGAAGAGAAAGAAAAUUCGAUUCCCUUAGUAGCGGCGAGCGAAACGGGAAGAGCCCAAACCAACAAGCUUGCUUGUUGGGGUUGUAGGACACUCUAUACGGAGUUACAAAGGACGACAUUAGACGAAUCAUCUGGAAAGAUGAAUCAAAGAAGGUAAUAAUCCUGUAGUCGAAAAUGUUGUCUCUCUUGAGUGGAUCCUGAGUACGACGGAGCACGUGAAAUUCCGUCGGAAUCUGGGAGGACCAUCUCCUAAGGCUAAAUACUCUCUAGUGACCGAUAGUGAACCAGUACCGUGAGGGAAAGGUGAAAAGCACCCCGGAAGGGGAGUGAAAUAGAACCUGAAACCGUGUGCUUACAAGUAGUCAGAGCCCGUUAAUGGGUGAUGGCGUGCCUUUUGUAGAAUGAACCGGCGAGUUACGAUUUGAUGCAAGGUUAAGCAGUAAAUGUGGAGCCGUAGCGAAAGCGAGUCUGAAUAGGGCGUUUAGUAUUUGGUCGUAGACCCGAAACCAGGUGAUCUACCCUUGGUCAGGUUGAAGUUCAGGUAACACUGAAUGGAGGACCGAACCGACUUACGUUGAAAAGUGAGCGGAUGAACUGAGGGUAGCGGAGAAAUUCCAAUCGAACCUGGAGAUAGCUGGUUCUCUCCGAAAUAGCUUUAGGGCUAGCCUCAAGUGAUGAUUAUUGGAGGUAGAGCACUGUUUGGACGAGGGGCCCCUCUCGGGUUACCGAAUUCAGACAAACUCCGAAUGCCAAUUAAUUUAACUUGGGAGUCAGAACAUGGGUGAUAAGGUCCGUGUUCGAAAGGGAAACAGCCCAGACCACCAGCUAAGGUCCCAAAAUAUAUGUUAAGUGGAAAAGGAUGUGGCGUUGCCCAGACAACUAGGAUGUUGGCUUAGAAGCAGCCAUCAUUUAAAGAGUGCGUAAUAGCUCACUAGUCGAGUGACACUGCGCCGAAAAUGUACCGGGGCUAAACAUAUUACCGAAGCUGUGGAUUGUCCUUUGGACAAUGGUAGGAGAGCGUUCUAAGGGUGUUGAAGCAUGAUCGCAAGGACAUGUGGAGCGCUUAGAAGUGAGAAUGCCGGUGUGAGUAGCGAAAGACGGGUGAGAAUCCCGUCCACCGAUUGACUAAGGUUUCCAGAGGAAGGCUCGUCCGCUCUGGGUUAGUCGGGUCCUAAGCUGAGGCCGACAGGCGUAGGCGAUGGAUAACAGGUUGAUAUUCCUGUACCACCUAUAAUCGUUUUAAUCGAUGGGGGGACGCAGUAGGAUAGGCGAAGCGUGCGAUUGGAUUGCACGUCUAAGCAGUAAGGCUGAGUAUUAGGCAAAUCCGGUACUCGUUAAGGCUGAGCUGUGAUGGGGAGAAGACAUUGUGUCUUCGAGUCGUUGAUUUCACACUGCCGAGAAAAGCCUCUAGAUAGAAAAUAGGUGCCCGUACCGCAAACCGACACAGGUAGUCAAGAUGAGAAUUCUAAGGUGAGCGAGCGAA
rnacentral:rRNA from 1 species